ACGUCUCAAACACAUGUAAGGUCUAAGGAAGGGGGAUGGUUUUAAAAACUAAAGUAUGAAUUGAAACAGAAAUUGUGGAGUUUGCAGAAAAACGAAAGAGAGAAAAACGUUCAGAUUUUGAGGGAGGCAAUAUAAGUUAUUAUCUUUAGAAAUCUGCAGAAGUCCUAUAGGAACAUUUGAAAAGCUUAGUAAAACAGUUUUAGUCAGGCAGAGUAAACGAAUGAGCGUGGAAGCAUUUUGAAGUUAUAGAACACUAAACAUACAGGCCUUUUAAGCUUUUAAAAAACGAAUUAGUACGCAGACAGUUGAAACACGGGUCUAAUCUGGAUAGGAAAUACAUCAAAACCUUUUUUCAUAGAUGAUUUUUAAAAUGUGACAGAAGUUUGUAAAAAAUAGAGAGGGCUUUCAGAAACAAACGGAUU
rnacentral:lncRNA from 1 species